UGGCAUCACGCACAGUCGUCAUAAUAACGUAUCUUUUAUUACCAGGCUGUAAUCCCAGAGCAGCCGCUUGUCAAUAGACGGAGCAGGACGCGGACGCAGAGGAGGGGAGGCGGACUGGAUGGAGCUGGUAGGCGGAUCACCUCCCGGGACGAACCGCCGCACAGUGUGAAAGUACCACAACUGCAGGAGGGAUCCACAUCCACAGCGUGGAGGGUCAGAGCGCGUUUAACGGCAGGAGGAAAAAAAAAACCACACACACCAAGAAUUUGAUGCUGUUUUACAAAGAAGUCUGAUCUUUCUCUGUCUCCGAGGCGUGUUUUUCUUUUCUUUUUUUUUUUCCUCCUCUUUUUUUUGUGACCUAUAAUAACGCCUCUUUUUGCAGCCUGCCAUCCGUCUGUUGUCCGGCGUCUAUCCUUGGAGAGAACGACGCGCAGACAAGAGAGAGGUCAAGACAAAGUCACUUCUGUGGCUGAAAGGAAGGAGAUCGGCUGUUUGCAAGGAGAGAUAUCGUUUAAUUUGGCAGUUUAUUUGUACUCUUGUUAUCCAAUUCCAUACCUGGAAGACCUUGAGGCGGAUAAUAAUUCUAAUAAUACAAAUAAUAACCUACCAGCCGCAACUGUGGAGGAUUAUUCUAGUGGAGGACAUGACUAAUAAUGACCGGUGCAGAAACACAUGCAGAUAUCUUUGAAUAAGUCAGAUGUGAUGUUCGGACAGGGAUUCCAGCUCUGAAUGGGGAAGAGCGAAGAGCAUCCACACCAGAUCUUAACGUGGAGAGCAGUUGAGUAGCCCACCGACGCGACCGUGCCCGGUUAAUCGAGUCAAAAGUCGUUUACCCACCCGCACUUUUCAUUGCUUUCCAUCUACUAUUAAACUAACCAGAGGAUCCAGGCUGACGUUUUGGAUAUUUUUGCAUUAAAUGACCGAUGAACGGAGUCUUUCCCUAAACGCGUGGAGCUCAUGUGGAGACCAAAUGAGUGCGCAACGCGGUGGUGCGCCGGUUUGACGGCGUUUUUUCCACGCUCAAAUCCCUGUCCCGGUGGAUCUGUAGUGGACGUCGGUUUGAUAUAGGUUAUUGGCUGCACCUGCCGCACACAAACACACACAUAUACAUACAUACACACACGCACACACCUGUCAAUUUCAUGUAAACUCAACGGGAACUCAAUCUAAAACGCAUUGGGAAGCCCCCGCCACCCCUCCAGGAGCCCCACAGGGUGGUCAGCCGUGCGCGACGCAGGACAAAAAAAAAAAAAAGAAAAAAGUGGAUAUGAUGUCUUAUUUGGUUUGAAAAAUUGCCUGAUCGGUGGAGGAUUAUUUCACAAAUUGUUUGUUCUUGUGAGUUCUUCAUCUGGAUUGAAAGUGGGGGAGAUAACCAGAGGAGAAAUAUCCCUUUACCCAACCGGAGAGGAGGAGAGGCGGACGCACAGGUCUUUGGAUCCGUCUCCGCAGGCCAUCUCUCUUAUCGGUCCAUCUGCUAGUCCUGACAGUUUAUCUUCAUGCUGAGUCCCAACAAAUCACAGCACAUCAGAUAGAGUUGCCUUGUUCCAAGUGGAGGAUAAUGGAAAGGCUGUGGCUCUCUUUGCUGUUGCUAGCAGCAGCAUGCAGGGGACAGCCGUGUCCAAAACGCUGUAUGUGCCAGAGCCUUUCUCCGUCGCUCGCCAUUCUCUGCUCGAAGACAGGCUUGCUGUUUGUUCCAGCUGCAAUUGACCGACGCACUGUGGAGUUACGGCUUCAAGAGAACUUCAUUACAGCUGUUCGCAGGAAAGACUUUGCUAACAUGACCAGCCUACUACAUCUGACCCUGUCCAGAAACACUAUCAGUCAGAUCCUCCCUUCAGCCUUCAGUGACCUACGGCGGCUGAGAGCCCUCCACCUAGACUCCAACAGAUUAACUAUUAUCAAGGAUGAUCAUUUUAAAGGCCUCACCAACCUUCGCCACCUCAUUCUGGCAAACAACCAGCUCCACUCCAUAUCUCCACAUGCUUUUGACGACUUCCUGGCCACUCUUGAAGACCUGGACCUCAGUUACAACAACCUUGCUCAGGUUCCCUGGGACACGAUUGGGCGUCUAACUAACGUCAACACCUUAAAUAUGGAUCAUAACCUAAUAGAGAAUGUUCCCCAAGGGGUUUUCACCAACCUUCACAAACUGGCCAGGCUAGACAUGACGUCCAAUAAGUUAAAGAAAAUUCCCCCGGACCCACUGUUCCUGAGAAUCCCAGUUUAUGCCAAGUCCAAAGGCUCCCCCCUCUCAUCCCUGGUGUUGAGUUUUGGUGGCAACCCUCUCCACUGUAACUGUGAACUUCUGUGGUUGAGGAGGCUAACAAGGGAGGAUGAUCUUGAGACGUGCGCCUCCCCCCCUGAUCUUAGCGCCAAAUACUUCUGGACCAUACCCGAAGAGGAGUUUAUUUGUGACCCACCAGUUCUGACCCGUAAGUCACCUCACACUGUGGCAAUGGAAGGCCAGCCUGCCAGCCUCAAGUGCAAAGCAAACGGUGACCCGGAACCUGAAGUCCAUUGGAUCAGCCCUGAAGGACGACUUAUAUCUAAUGGCUCCAGAACGCUGGUAUUUCCUAAUGGAAGCCUGGAAAUCAAUGUCACGUCCCUGAAGGAUUCAGGAAACUUCACCUGCAUCGCGUCCAACGCUGCAGGUGAAUCGACAGGAAGGGUGGAGCUUGUUGUCACGGCAAUGCCCCAUUUGGCAAACAGCACAAGCCGAAGUCGAGAUCCUUCGUCUGAACCCGCCCCUUCUGACAUCCUGACCUCAUCUAAGGUCGCUCUACCAAAUAACGAGACGAGAGGAGCCGAUAGAAGAGUUUCACUGGUGGAACUGACGGGAAACUCUGCCCUCAUUAGAUGGAGCAGUCAAACCCCUCCAUCUGGAGUCAGGAUGUUCCAGGUCCAGUACAACAGCUCUGGGGAUGACACUCUAGUAUACAGGAUGAUUCCGUCCAGCAGCAAUGACUUCCUGGUUCGUGACCUCGCCGCUGGGCGGACCUACGAUCUCUGCGUGUUGGCUGUGUUUGAUGACGUCAUCACAUCUCUGACUGCAACGCGCCCUUUGGGUUGUCUUUCAUUCACCACAGACACGGAGUUCAGCCAGUGCCAAGCAUUACACAGCCACUUCCUCGGCGGUACAAUGAUCAUCAUCAUCGGUGGGAUUAUUGUUGCUUCUGUUCUGGUUUUUAUUAUCAUCUUAAUGAUACGAUACAAGGUUUAUAGUCACCAAGGGACAGGCCACGGAAAAGCAGCUCUUUCCACGACUGCGCCAAGACCACAGAGCAAUGGACAAGGAGGAAGUGGGCAGGUCCAAGUCCUCCCUCGUUCUGCCUCAAAAAUGACUGACAGCCAGGAUGACCAAGCGCUGGGGCCGUCCAGGGCCAUGUCGCCUAGCAACACCCUGAGAGACACAGUUGCGUUGGUAGAGGAGGAGGAUAGCAGUGGACAGAGCAUAAUGAUGAGGACUGACUCUUUGGCCAAUGAGGAGUUGCUGUCGCCUACCAAGGCCCGCUUCUCCUCCAGAGUCGCCAUUGAGAUGAAAAGCAGACCGCCAUCUGUCGCCAAAGAGCCCACCUCCCCCAAGGAACUGGCAGAACCCUGAUGUUGUUCUGAAUGGCAGAUGUGGAAAAUGGACUGCGCCACCAGGGACAGCCACUGAAAAGCCAGAAGAAAACAGACCCUAACUCCUACUCCCUGUAUUUCCUGUUUACCGUACCCAUUAUUUGUUUCCAUGAAUACCGUGGGGUUAUAGACCUGUACUGUCCGGUUUACUUUUUACUGCUUAACCUGGUUCUUGUGUCUGACUUGGAUGACCACGUCAAGAUGAAAUGCGACUGACAUGGUUAGUGGCCUGUUUCUACAAGCUCCAGCUGUUGGUGUUUCAUCACUUUUGGUGGAAUUUUUUACUUUGCAACAACUGUAUCAGGGUGGAUUUACACACAGAAGGAGUAGAUAAUACAAAAAAAGCAACACUAUAAGAUAUAUGAAUAUGAAAAUAGAAAAUAAGAACAAACUUCUAGCUAUCUGGAGCAGCAUCAACAUGCAUGGACAGAUAGUGAAGGUACAUUAAUAAAAGACAACAAUGGAAAAUAUCAUAAAAAAUUGGAAGCACAGAAAUGCACCCAAUCUGGAUGGUAAAAGUACAAAAAAAUGAAUAAAAGCCAAGAGCAAAACAUUUGGGUGGGACUGGCUCUGGAUAAGUACAUAUGUUAACCAAUCUCUUAAACACGGAGGACUCUCAACACGUCUGCCUCUCCAAGGAUCUUCUUGACAUGAAAUCACGCAAAUCUGGUAACCUGAACUGCACCGAUCUGAAAUGAGCAGGAGCUGUGGUUUAUUCCUUAUGUCUCUUAAUCAGAAGUUGGUUUCCAGAAAGCACAAACAUAAAAAAAAAUGAGCUGGACUGGUCUGAGCCUUUACAGAGCUGAACGAACUGGACUCAUUGGAGCCAAAACUGGAGUGGAUUCAGACUGAGACGUACACGGAUUAAUUAUUUCAGUCUAAACUGAAGUGGACUACAGAGGUCUGAUCUCUAUGUUCGACGACUGCUCUGGGGCCAAACCUUCUGCUGUUGACUGGAUAGGUGCAUGGUGAGGACCUCGUGGAUCUUUACCAUCCUUUAUCACAUCUCUCCAGGCCCACUUAAACAGACCCAGCGAUCCGGAGAAAAGGUACUUGUCUGAAGUC